CGAACGGGUGAGUAACACGUGGGUGACCUGCCCUUAGCUCUGGGAUAAGCCUGGGAAACUGGGUCUAAUACCGGAUAUGACUCCAUGACGCAUGUUGUGGGGUGGAAAGCCUUGUGCGGCUGGGGAUGGGCCCGCGGCCUAUCAGCUUGUUGGUGGGGUGAUGGCCUACCAAGGCGACGACGGGUAGCCGGCCCGAGAGGGCGACCGGCCACACUGGGACUGAGACACGGCCCAG
rnacentral:rRNA from 1 species